UACGAAGGGGGCUAGCGUUGUUCGGAAUUACUGGGCGUAAAGCGCACGUAGGCGGAUUGUUAAGUCGAGGGUGAAAUCCCAGGGCUCAACCCUGGAACUGCCUUCGAUACUGGCAUUCUUGAGUCCGAGAGAGGUGAGUGGAAUUCCGAGUGUAGAGGUGAAAUUCGUAGAUAUUCGGAAAGAACACCAGUGGCGAAGGCGGCUCACUGGUCUCGGAACUGACGCUGAGGUGCGAAAGCGUGGGGAGCAACAGG
rnacentral:rRNA from 1 species